GAGUGCAUGCAGGUGUCACACAGAAAGUUUAACUGCUCAAACACAGGGUCAGUUUUCCAUGCCAAGUUCAACCUUCGAGAAAAGAAAAGAGAAAGGGAAAUGUCUCCCAUGGCGUAUGCCAAUUUGGCACCGUUUGGUAACUUAAAAUUGAAUCAUUUGGUAAUUUGGUUAGACGAAUGGCUUUUACUAUCUUCCAAUGAUUGUCAGCUAAGUUGUUAGCCAAAGGAGUAAAUUAAAAUCCACAAACGUACAUACACAACUCACAUAAUUUGCAGUUAAGAAAUGAGAGGAGGUUUUGGUAAGGUGCUCAUAUGGAGAUGGAUUUCACUCUUAACACCCCCAACCUGUAUUACCUGCGAGUGUGAUGUUAGCCAGGCAUGUCUGUCAGGAUAAAUAAUUUGGAGAGUUUUGUUUUAAAGAACUCUUUUGGAGAAAGGGAGGUGCUGGUUGCUGUUUAGCACAUUAAAAUAUAGUUUAACACAUUUUUUUAAAAAAGCUCUUUUUAAUGAUAUGUGUAACUCUGCAAAGUUUUUGAUCUAUAAAAAGUCAAACAGCAGACUUUCUUAAUCUAGAAUUCAAGGAGAUCCAUAGCUAAUGAAAGGGAGGCCCUAUUGCUGUGGAAUUAUACUCAGCAUUUUGUGUAUAUGGGCAUUUUCCCCCUGAGUUGAGGAAAGCAGAUUUUCUAAAAGUAUUCUGAGAGAUUCCCAGAAAAAUGCUAAGAAGUGUUGCAUAGUGAAGGCUUUGUUUCCAAUUGGUGUUUGUUCUGACUCAAUUUUUGGACCCAGAUUGUAAGUUUUCAUGAAAUUUAUCAAGUGUGUGUUUUCUUGAUUUUCCUUAAAAGAAGGCAUUGAUUACAAUCAGCUUUUACUUAUGUAUGAAGUUGAAAGCUUUAGUAUUUACAAUUUAAAAGAGCUGCUAAGGCAUAGUUUUACCUGAGAGAUACUCUGGAUUAUUGACUGCCCGCUCCUCGGGUUUAUUGCAGUAGAAUUAAAAAAUAAAAACUGUACUAUGUGUAAGGAGUACAGUAUGAUGACUUGAUAUUAGCUUUGACGGGACUCCUAGCUGGAGAGAAGGAUAAAAGAGGUAGCCUCUAGGAGUUCCUAUUGUGGCUCAGCAGGUUAAGAACAUGACGAAAUCUCUGUGAGGAUGCGGGUUCGAUCCCUGGCCUCGCUCAGUGGGUUAAGAAUCUGGUGUUGUGGAGUUCCUGUUGUGGCACAGUGGUUAACGAAUCCGACUAGGAACCAUGAGGUUGUGGGUUCGAUCCCUGGCCUUGCUCAGUGGGUUAAGGAUCCAGCGUUGCCAUGAGCUGUGUUGUAGGUUGCAGACGCAGCUUGGAACCUGCAUUGCUGUGGCUGUGGUGUAGGCUGGCAGCUACAUGAGCUGACCCCUAGCCUGGGAACUUCCACAUGCCGCAGGUGUGGCUGUAAAAAGAAGAAAAGAAAAAAAAAAACAACAAAAAACAUGUGGCCUCUAUAGUGAGAACAGGUUAGCAUGGUGACAUUCUAAUAGGGGAAAAAAAAGCCAGGGAAAAUCAGGCCAAGGGCCUUGUUAAGUGUAGAUUGAAACCGUAUAGCUCAGACUGGGACUUGAGCCCACAGGCUAGUAUUUGAACUUAGCUCAGGUUGGGAUUUGAAUCUGUCUUUUAAUUAAAAUCACACACCUGGUCUCAGAACUCACUGAAGUUCAGGAUCUUUAUGUCUCAGCAUAGAAGGAAUUCAGUGAGAGGCGAAGUGAUGGGUAAGAAAUAGAUUUAUUGAGAGAGACAGAACGUGGGCCAUCUUGGAAGGGGAGAGUGGCCUGGAAGAUACACAUUCCAUAGACAGAAUGUAGUCUGUCUCAGAAGGCAAGAGAGCGGCCCUGGGGGAGACACACUCUGCAAACAAUGUGGCCAUCUCAGAAGGUGAGAGGCCCCCGAACAUGAGGUGAGUAAUUUCAUAGGCUAAGGAGUGCAAGGAUCAUUCCAACUAUUUCAGGAUUGGGUGGAGAUUUCUAGGAAUUGGGCCACUGCCCACUUUUUGCCCUUGGAACUGUCAUGGCACCUGUGGGUGUGUCACUGAGCAUGCUAAUGUAUUAUAAUGAGCGCAUAAUGAGGCUCAAGGUCUACUGGAGGUCAAAUCUUCCGCCAUCUUGGGCCUAGUUUGUUCUAACCAGUUCUUAUUACAUCCUCAAAGGCUGUGUCAUUCUUUUAAAAGUUGUGCCCUGCCCCCUUCCCUCCUGUGUCAGAUGGUUUCCCUGGUGCCUUCUGUGCAUGCAGGACAUUCAGCCACUCCUUACCCAUUUAUAUAUUCCUGCUGUGUUGUUAGUGCCAAAGGAAAAGACUUGCCCAAUUUUCCACCCACUAAAUAAUUCUUUCUUGCAAAAUUGAAUUA
rnacentral:lncRNA from 1 species